rnacentral:lncRNA from 1 species
UGAAGACAGACAACAGGCUGCUCUUACUCCAACACAGCUCACUUUAAACUGCCUCAGCGCAGCUCCUGAGCUCUGGUAACAGGGGUCUGGGAGUCUAUGAAGCUAGAUAACAGAAUUGUGGUGUGGCAGCACUGAAAGAAUUGCCUUUUAUAGAUAUCUAGCACCCCAAGGCUGUUCAGACAACUCCCCUUUCAGUGCUGUUUCUAAGCUGAUGGAGCUGUACUUUCUCCACCGUACAACUGGAGCAAACGGGUCUGCACUUGAUUUCUCUCUUCGCAUCGACCCCUAAAAUCUAGGAAAGACAUUACGCUCAAACGUCAAUUAGUUCUCAGCGUUAGCUAUUUCAGAAUCUCCUUCACGGGGGUCUUUUACAAGUCAGCCUCAUCACCAGAUACCAG